rnacentral:lncRNA from 10 species
CGUCAUCUCACACUUUAGCAGUUUAAACAAUAAGCCCUUGUUAUCUCAGUCUCUGUGAGUCAGAAAUUCAUGUGCACUUGGCUAAAUCCUCCAGCUUGUGAUCCCUGAUGAAGUCGCAGCUAAGCCUCCUAUUGUGGCUGCUGUUUCAUCUGAAAGCUUGAGCGGGAAAUAAUGUGCUGUCAGGCUCACAUGUUGCUGCUGGCAGGAUUGAGCUCCUCUUGGGCAGCUGAACUGUGGACCUCAAUUCUUCAUCAACUGUUUGCUAAAUUUCCCUCAUUUCUUGCCACAUGGGCCUCUCCAUAGAGUGGCUCAGAUCACGGCAGCUCAGAGCAAGCAGAUGAGAGCAACAGACAGUCCCAAGAUGGAAGCUGCAGUCUUUUUGCAGCCUAAUAUCAGAAGCAAUAUCCUAUCACUUUUGGCAUAUUCUACUGGGUAGAAUCCAGCCAAUAGGUUCAGCCCAACUCAUGAAGGUGGGAGAAUGAAUUCCAUAGAUUCCUGAGAAUCAUCUCAGAAGCUGCCCACUACAGAUGGGAAGUCAUCUAUGUGUUGCAUUUUCAGCUUUGUGUAGGUUUUGCAUGGAUUUAAUUCAAUACUCUUCUGAGGCAUUUCAGGGCUUUUAGGGGACAAAAUCCAGACUGUCUAGCAGCAGCUUUAGGGGGCUAUCAAAAGACAUAGGUUGGGAUUAGAGGAGUGAACUUAUGACAGUGGUGGUAAGAAUGUCUUGAUGGUCACUUUUGGCUCCCAAUAGCCUGAAUGGUGGUCCCGCAAGAUUCAGAGGAACUAAAAAGCAGAGGAUGUUAGGAUAAUGCUUAUUGCCCCUCCAGAUGUUUCCUUCCCAUUUUCCACUUGAUCCUUCUAGGGGAUCUUCUUUGUUGAGAAACCACAGACGCUCUUCCAGUUAUCAAAUAUAACAAAUCAACCAACAGUUGUCAGCUUAAACCAACAAUAAUUAUUUGCUUUUCCAUGGUUUCUGCUAGCCAGAAAUUCUGGAAGAGUUUGGCUGAGCAGUUCUCAUCUGGAAUCUCUCAGGGAGUUGCAGUCAUGUGUUCACUGGGGCGCUAUCAUCUGAUGGCUUGACUGGGGCUGGAAGAUCUACUUCCAAGAUACUGCUGUCCCAUGGGGGGGGCAUCUUGUGCACCUCCAGAACAUGAGCUGAGCACCCAGUGCCUAGAGCCAGGGGCAGGACAGAAGGAGGCUCUCCCAUGACUUUACAGAUUCAUGGGCAAGAAAUCAGUCCGGGAGGCCAGAAGUGUGAAGUCAAGGUGUCGGCCUGGCCGUGCUCCCUCCGGAGUCUUCAGGGGAGGGUCCUUCCUGCCUCUUCCAGCUCCUGGUGGCUCCUGCAGUCCUUGGCUCACAGCUGCAUCUCCCCAGCCUUGGCCUCCGUCUUCACAUAAUCAUAUUCUCUGAGUUUUCUCCUCUCUUUUCUGUUUUUCUCCUCUGUGUAUCUCAUAAACACACUUGUCAUUGGAUUUAGGGCCCGCCUGGCUAAUCCAGGAUGAUCCCCUUUGGAGAUCCUUAACCUUAUUACAUCUUCAAAAAGCCCCUUUUCAAAAAAGGUCACAUUCACAGUUUCCAGAUAUAAUUUUCUGGACAUGUCUUUCUGGAGGCCACCAUUCUACCCACUACAGAUGGUGACUGUUAGGGGCUGAAUGGUGGCCCUCAAAUUUCAUAUGUUGAAAUCCCCACUCCCAGUACCUCAGAAUGUGGCUCUAUUUGGAGAUAAGGUUUUUAAAGGAUUAAUUAAGUUAAAAUGAGGCUAUAAAGGUGGAACCUUAGCUAAUAUGACUGGCAUCUUUGUUUAAACAGGGAGAGACACUGGGGGGUGUGUGUGCACAGAAAAAUAGCAGGUGAAGACACAGUGAGAGGGCAGCCUUCUACAAGGCAAGGAGAGAGGCCUCGGGAAACUAGCCCCGCUAGCACCCUGACCUUGGACGUCCAGCCUCCAGAACUGUGAGACAAUAAAGUCCUGUUGCCAGGCUUCUGAGGUCCUGGAGACCCACAGCUAGGCUGGGAGCAGGAUGGCUGCUGUGAAGGUGGUAGCUGCGGAAGAAGUGGUGGCAGUGGUCACAGCCCUGGGAGAGAUGAAGGGGUCUACAUGGGCCAGCACUGAGACCUGUCAUGGAGGCCAACAGGAAUCCCCAUCCCUGGAGCCGUCUGCGACUUGCAGGCUGAGUUCUUCCCCUGCGUGGCCUGAAGUGGCCCAGCUGUGAGAAGCCAUUGUGAGGAAUGAUGUUUGUUUAAUAGAGAGUGCGCCAGCAUCGAACUGUCUGCAGGCUGAACCCCUAGGGAGGAGGAGAGGAAAGAAAGCCCGAUGGCUUCAGGCUCAGGUCUUUAAAACUCGUUCUGGGAGAGAACACAUUUGCAGAGCCCCACACUGGGCUCCAGGCUCCUAGAAGCAGCGGGAGCCUGCGUGGGGGCUUUGCAGUUCUUCAUGGAUCGCCGGUUUCAUCUUCUGGGGCCCACCACGCUGACUUGUAUGCAGCUUGCCUGGUGCCGACGGCCUCCAUCCAGCACCCCCUGGACCUGCCUCCGAGUCUGGGUUUGGGGAGCAGAAACAGCAUGAUCUGGGGGACAGGGAUGGUCCCUAGGGGUUGUUAGGCUCCUCUGCCCUCCACCCCACCCACGUAGGCACCAGAUACGAAUGCAAAUGGAGUCACCUCUGGGCCAGCUGUCCUGAUCCUCCUGGGCCCCUGGGGUUUCCCUCCUGACUCUGCUCCCUGGCGGUCUGGGCUGUCUAUGUAGUCCUGCCUGGGAGUCCCAGGCAGGCUGGCGGAGGAGAUGGUGUCAGGGCUGGGCUUGGGAGGAUAGGAGGAAGUUUCCAGGAGUGGAGGGAAGGGGUGGGCAUUUCUGAUGCUAAAAGGGGGUCCCAAGGCCUGGAGUUGCCUGGGGCCUGAGGGUGGCACUGGGAAGUCAAUAGCAGGCUUUUAAAAAUAUUUCUUAUUGUGGUAAAAUACGCAUAAUCAUGAAACUUACCAUGUUAAUCAUUAGGUAUACAGUUGAGUGACACUAAGCACAUUCACCCUGUGUAGCCGUCACCGCCCUCCCCUCCAGGAUGUGCUCAUCUUUCCAGGCCAAAGCUCCCCACCCAUGGAACACUAACUUCUCCCGCCUCCCCGUGCCGUGCUGUGCUGUGCUGUGUUGU